AAGGAGAAAGCCUCCAUUAGCAGAAGGCUGCGGCUCCCAGCGUCCCUGGGACAAGAAGCAUCUGUUGCUACUCCCCAUUGUUCCAGCCGAGAGCACACUAAUUGUCCUCUCCAAAGUUGGACUGCAGUCUCUUGCCAGAGGGAAAUUAGGGGCCGAUUUUCAGCAGGCGCUGUCCUUUCCACAGCUGUCAGCUGAACAGCCCCAGGAGGGGACGGGCUGAUUUGAGGGGUGGGGGAGAGAAGUCCAUCCUGCAUCCUGAUCCACACAGCCAAGGGAAAGUUAGCCUGGCCCUGAGAGGGAGCAGGAGACCCACCAGACGGCCACCACUCAAGAAAUCACAGGCAGCCUGGCUGCAACUUCUCUGGAAGGUUCCAUAGGAUUUCAUGGCAUGCAUGUAGAUGUGGAACUAGAUAACAAGACUUCAAGACUAUAGAAGAUGGCCUGGAAAACGUCACAGAGUGGAGGAAUCCAGGAUCCUCAAGGUGCCCCAGGAAGAGGGUCAUUCAGGGUCAUUCUGGUCAUUCACCACGAACACCCUCCACGGCACUUGGAGAAAUAAACAGAUUGUCUUAAGACACUGAGAUGAGGGCUGCAUGUUACAGGGGACAAAACUGACUGUACUUUGAUGGAUACCCGAGCCUGUGAUAUCCCACAGAUUCUGUGAUCAAUGACCCCACGUGAACGUCACAACCCGACAAUAAAGAGUUAUCAUCCCCGUUGUA